AGAGUUUGAUCCUGGCUCAGAACGUACGCUGGCGGCACGCCUAACACAUGCAAGUCGAACGCAGUAGCAAUACUGAGUGGCAGACGGGUGAGUAACAUGUGGGAAUCUGCCUUGUGGUUCAGGACAACAUUGGGAAACCGAUGCUAAUACUGGAUAAGCCCUUACGGGGAAAGUUUUAAUGCCAUAAGAUGAGCCCGCAUUUGAUUAGUUAGUUGGUGAGGUAAUGGCUCACCAAGACAAUGAUCAAUAGCUGAUCUGAGAGGAUGAUCAGCCACACUGGGACUGAGACACGGCCCAGACUCCUACGGGAGGCAGCAGUGGGGAAUCUUGCACAAUGGAGGAAACUCUGAUGCAGCGAUGCCGCGUGAGUGAAGAAGGCCUUUGGGUUGUAAAGCUCUUUUGUAGGGGAAGAUAAUGACUGUACCAUAAGAAUAAGGUCCGGCUAACUUCGUGCCAGCAGCCGCGGUAAUACGAAGGGACCUAGCGUAGUUCGGAAUUACUGGGCGUAAAGCGCGCGUAGGCCGUUGAGUUAGUUAAUUGUGAAAUCCCAAAGCUUAACUUUGGAACUGCAAUUAAAACUGCUCGACUAGAGUUUGAUAGAGGAAAGCGGAAUACAUAGUGUAGAGGUGAAAUUCGUAGAUAUUAUGUAGAACACCAGUUGCGAAGGCGGCUUUCUGGAUCAACACUGACGCUGAGGUGCGAAAGUAUGGGUAGCAAAGAGGAUUAGAUACCCUCGUAGUCCAUACCAUAAACGAUGAUUGCUAGAUGUUGGAAAUUUAAUUUCAGUAUCGCAGCUAACGCAUUAAGCAAUCCGCCUGGGGAGUACGACCGCAAGGUUAAAACUCAAAUGAAUUGACGGGGACCCGCACAAGCGGUGGAGCAUGUGGUUUAAUUCGAAGAUACGCGCAGAACCUUACCAACCCUUGACAUGUCUGUCGCGAGUUUAGGAAACUAGACUUUUCGGUUCGGCCGGACAGAACACAGGUGCUGCAUGGCUGUCGUCAGCUCGUGUCGUGAGAUGUUGGGUUAAGUCCCGCAACGAGCGCAACCCUUAUUCUAUGUUGCCAGCAAGUAAUGUUGGGGACUCAUGGAAGACCGCCGGGGUCAACUCGGAGGAAGGUGGGGAUGACGUCAAGUCCUCAUGCCCCUUAUGUCCAGGGCUGCAAACACGCUACAAUGGCCGAUACAAAGGGUCGCUUGCCCGCGAGGGUUGGCCAAUCCCAUAAAGUCGGUCUCAGAUCGGAUUGAAGUCUGCAACUCGACUUCAUGAAGCUGGAGUUGCUAGUAAUCCCGGAUCAGCACGCCGGGGUGAAUACGUUCCCGGGCCUUGUACACACCGCCCGUCACACCACGAAAGUCGGCAACACCCGAAGCCGGUGGCCUAACCGAAAGGAAGGAGCCGUCGAAGGUGGGGUCGGUGAUUGGGGUGAAGUCGUAACAAGG
rnacentral:rRNA from 1 species